CCUACGGGUGGCAGCAGUAGGGAAUAUUGCUCAAUGGAGGAAACCCUGAAGCAGCCAAGCCGCGUGCAGGAUGAAGGUUUUCGGAUUUGAAACUCCUUUUGUUAUAGAAGAUAAUGACGGUAUCUAACGAAUAAGCACCAGCUAACUCCGUGCCAGCAGCCGCGGUAAUACGGAGGGUGCACGCGUUACUCGGAAUCACUGGGCGUAAAGAGCGCGUAGGCGGGAUAGCAAGUCAGAUGUGAAAGCCUAUGGCUUAACCAUAGAAUUGCAGUUGAAACUGGUAUUCUAGAGUAUGGGAGAGGUAGGUGGAAUUCUUGGUGUAGGGGUAAAAUCCUUAGAUAUCAAGAGGAAGACUGAUUGCGAAGGCGACCGGCUAGAACAUAACUGACGCUGAGGCGCGAAAGUGUGGGGAGCAAACAGGAUUAGAUACCCGAGUAGUC
rnacentral:rRNA from 1 species